rnacentral:rRNA from 1 species
UAGCGUAUAUUAAAGUUGUUGCGGUAAAAAAGCUCGUAGUUGGAUUUCUGUUGAGGACGACCGGUCCGUACCACGUACGCGCAUCUGGCUCGGCCUCGGCAUCCUCCCGUUUUGUGCGUUCCUGCGCUUGAUUGCGUGGGGCGCGCUUCGGGACUUUUACUUUGAGGAAAUUAGAGUGUUCACGGCAGGCUAUCGCCCGAAUACAUUAGCAUGGAAUAAUACUAUAGGAUCUUGGUUCUAUUUUGUUGGUUUCUAGAAUUGAGAUAAUGAUUAAUAGGGACAAUUGGGGGCAUUUGUAUCAACACGUC